rnacentral:rRNA from 1 species
AUUCUGGUUGAUCCUGGCGGAGGUUACUGCUAUUGGAAUCCGAUUAAGCCAUGCGAGUCGAUCGGGUCAGACCCGAGGCGCACUGCUCAGUAACACGUGGAGAAUCUGCCCUUAGGUGAGGAAUAACCUCGGGAAACUGAGAAUAAUACCUCAUAGGUUAUGGAUGCUGGAAUGCUUCAUAGCCCAAAGCCCCGGCGCCUAAGGAUGACUCUGCGGACUAUCAGGUAGUAGUCAGGGUAACGACCUGACUAGCCUACGACGGAUACGGGGUGUGAGAGCACUAGCCCGGAGAUGGAUUCUGAGACACGAAUCCAGGCCCUACGGGGUGCAGCAGGCGCGAAACUUCCGCAAUGCUCGACAGAGUGACGGAGGGAUUCCAAGUGCCUAUGCUAUGCGUAGGCUGUUUUUAUGUCUAAAUAACAUGGAGAGUAANAGCUGGGUAA